rnacentral:rRNA from 1 species
CGUGUAGGCGGCUUGGUAAGUCUGGUGUGAAAUCUUGGGGCUCAACCCCAAGCCUGCACUGGAUACUGCCUCGCUAGAGUCCGGGAGAGGAGAGUGGAAUUCCCAGUGUAGCGGUGAAAUGCGCAGAUAUUGGGAAGAACACCGGUGGCGAAGGCGGCUCUCUGGAACGGUACUGACGCUGAGACGCGAAAGCGUGGGGAGCGAACA